CAGCUCACAGUCACGGACGGGAUCACAGCCGGACGGCUCGCGACGUGGUCACGGAAAAUAAUAGCUGGACACAGACAAACUGGAGAGAAAGCUGACAGGAUGUCGUCAUCUGUAACCGUCACUCGCCACAGUUCUCAAGCAAGGGACAAUAAUGGCAUCAGCCAUUCAAGUUAUGAUCCUGGCAGAUCUACUACUAUCUGAAAAGUAGUCUCUGCAGAUAUUGUCAAGAUGCACAAGAUGGAGCGUGGAGAGACAGGACAUGGACCACAGUUUUUCAGCACCCACACACCACACUCAAAUUCAUAUAGAAGUCCUCAAUUAUUAAAUGUUAAUAUGAUAGUUUAUAUUUAGCUGUGAAGUUAUAGUUCAUUGUCAUAAAUAUUAAACUACAUAUUAUUAUUAUUAUUAUUUUACAUGAUAUGCAAAUUUCACCAAUUUGUUCAAUGUGUUAAUGAACUUUUGAAAGUGAUUAUCUUUAAUAAUUCAGAUACCUGUUGAAAUGCACAUGUAAUUAUAUACUUGCUCGUAUCUGGAAGGUUGUGUUAAUAAAAAUGAUGUUGAAAGCAAAUGUUGCAAUACUGCUAAUCUUAAAAUAACAUUUUAUUAAACUAAACUUUGUAAUGUUCCAAAUAAAUGUUUUUAGGAUGUUGUAUUUUUAAGAAAAUGUAGGUGGAAAUAAAGUUGUAGGAACAUUAUGCUAACCAUAAAAUAACGUUCUAGCUACGUUAAGCAAA